rnacentral:lncRNA from 1 species
UGUGUGUGUGUGUGUGUGUGUGUGUGUGUGUGUGUGUUAGUGGGUCACCAGGAGGUCAGAAACAUUUGGCACUGUCCAAGCAUCCAAAAGUUACGUACUGUCUUUGGCUGGGACCACUGUUAGUGAAAAGAAUAAUGAAUGAAGGAGGAACACCCAGUUAGGUCAGUGUCAGGGGAACAGAGAGACUAGGCACACACCUGCAGGGCUGGGUGGAGGCACCCCCGCAGGGCUAGUGAAAGGAUUGGCUUCUCCAAGGAAGGACACUGAGAGGGAGCUGUGCUGUGACAGAGAAAUAAUAGAACAGAGUUGGGGAUACCUGGGGAGGACAACAUGGCGUCAGGGUGAGAGUUGGUGAUGGGGUACACGGCUGAACACAGAAGGAAGAGAAACUCCUUUAUUUCCUGGUUCUAUAGCAGAAGCCCUGAGGCUGGUGACGUAGAGAGUCGAGAAAUAAACUGCUCACAUAUUCUGGGAGUUGAAGUCUGUGAAGCUGAAACCUGCACUUGGUCAGCUUCUGGUGAGGGGGAUAUGGGAUUCUGCAGAGGAGCCUGGGCUUUCCCCGAUGCCAACGUGUCAGCCUUGGCUUGCCUCUUCCUCUGAGGGCAGCUGGAGGCAGAAUCUGACCAGAUUUUCACUUUCCACCAAGGUUACAGCUCCAGGAUUUAGGACGGUGCUGUACACAGCAGGCA